CCUACGGGCGGCAGCAGUGGGGAAUAUUGCGCAAUGGGCGAAAGCCUGACGCAGCGACGCCGCGUGAGGGAUGAAGGUCUUCGGAUCGUAAACCUCUGUCAGCAGGGAAGAACGGUCACUGUGCUAAUCAGCAGUGAAUUGACGGUACCUGCAAAGGAAGCACCGGCUAACUCCGUGCCAGCAGCCGCGGUAAUACGGAGGGUGCGAGCGUUAAUCGGAAUUACUGGGCGUAAAGCGCUCGUAGGCGGUAUGUCAAGUCAAGGGUGAAAUCCCCGCGCUCAACGUGGGAACUGCCUUUGAAACUGGCAAACUGGAGUGUGGGAGAGGAUAGUGGAAUUCCAGGUGUAGGAGUGAAAGCCGUAGAUAUCUGGAGGAACAUCAGUGGCGAAGGCGACUAUCUGGCACAUAACUGACGCUGAGGAGCGAAAGCGUGGGUAGCAAACAGGAUUAGAUACCCCUGUGUC
rnacentral:rRNA from 1 species